AUUGAACGCUGGCGGCACGCCUUACACAUGCAAGUCGAACGGUAACAGGUCUUCGGAUGCUGACGAGUGGCGAACGGGUGAGUAAUACAUCGGAACGUGCCUAGUAGUGGGGGAUAACUACUCGAAAGAGUGGCUAAUACCGCAUGAGAUCUACGGAUGAAAGCAGGGGAUCGCAAGACCUUGUGCUACUAGAGCGGCCGAUGGCAGAUUAGGUAGUUGGUGGGAUAAAAGCUUACCAAGCCGACGAUCUGUAGCUGGUCUGAGAGGACGAUCAGCCACACUGGGACUGAGACACGGCCCAGACUCCUACGGGGGGCAGCAGUGGGGAAUUUUGGACAAUGGGCGCAAGUCUGAUCCAGCAAUGCCGCGUGCAGGAUGAAGGCCUUCGGGUUGUAAACUGCUUUUGUACGGAACGAAAAGCCCUGGGUUAAUACCCUGGGGUCAUGACGGUACCGUAAGAAUAAGCACCGGCUAACUACGUGCCAGCCGCCGCAGUAACAC
rnacentral:rRNA from 1 species